rnacentral:rRNA from 1 species
UACAGAGGUCUCAAGCGUUGUUCGGAUUCAUUGGGCGUAAAGGGUGCGUAGGCGGCGCGGUAAGUCGGGUGUGAAAUCUCGGAGCUUAACUCCGAAACUGCAUUCGAUACUGCCGUGCUUGAGGACUGGAGAGGAGACUGGAAUUUACGGUGUAGCGGUGAAAUGCGUAGAUAUCAGGAGGAACACCGGUGGUGUAGACGGCUCACUGGACCGUAACUGACGCUGAGACACGAAAGCGUGGGUAGCAAACAGG